GGCGCAGCAGGCGCGAAACCUCCGCAAUGCGGGAAACCGCGACGGGGGGACCCCGAGUGCCGUGGCACCGCCACGGCUUUUCCGGAGUGUAAAAAGCUCCGGGAAUAAGGGCUGGGCAAGGCCGGUGGCAGCCGCCGCGGUAAUACCGGCGGCCCGAGUGGUGGCCGCUAUUAUUGGGCCUAAAGCGUCCGUAGCCGGGCCCGUAAGUCCCUGGCGAAAUCCCACGGCUCAACCGUGGGGCUUGCUGGGGAUACUGCGGGCCUUGGGACCGGGAGAGGCGGGGGGUACCCCUGGGGUAGGGGUGAAAUCCUAUAAUCCCAGGGGGACCGCCAGUGGCGAAGGCGCCCCGCUGGAACGGGUCCGACGGUGAGGGACGAAGGCCAGGGGAGCAAACCGGAUUAGAUACCCGGGUAGUCCUGGCUGUAAAGGAUGCGGGCUAGGUGUCGGGUGAGCUUCGAGCUCGCCCGGUGCCGUAGGGAAGCCGUUAAGCCCGCCGCCUGGGGAGUACGGCCGCAAGGCUGAAACUUAAAGGAAUUGGCGGGGGAGCACUACAAGGGGUGGAGCGUGCGGUUUAAUUGGAUUCAACGCCGGG
rnacentral:rRNA from 1 species